GUCGAGUAGCUUGUGAACCUGUAGUACUCAGCCAAUGAGGAAACAGGGGAGGUGAUCAGGUGUCGGGUUAUAGGGAAUAAAAGGUUAUGAUUUGUUUACUAGAAUGCGCUCCUAAUUGACAUGACGCCCGCCAUUGCAAUCGCAAAUAAAAUAGCUUCACAGAA